CUGAGUCUAGAAAGUUCUCAGAGGGGAGUUAUUCACUCCCUCUUUCAACAUGGAUUACUCAUCACUAUUCUUUCAGCAUUUAUUCAAAGGCUGCUGUACACUGGGGAGAUGAUAUAAAGAAUAAGUCAGACAUGAGUUUUAGUCCUCGGGUGCUUACGUUUUGUAAGAUGAGAAAUGACUGGUGUUUUUCAAGUCUGAGAAGAAGCAGACACUAGCAGAGUAAACAUAAUUCAAGCUCAGAAAACGGACAACAAAACAUUCAGAGGUGACCAGUAAGGCUGGCCUUUCCUUGAUCCCGCGGAGAACUGACCCCUUGAGAAAAAGUGCACAAGAAGAUCUGAAAUGUAACAGGGACAACACCAUGUCAAAUUGCCAUAGCCAUCCAGAGGCCAUCCGUUUGCAGCGUCUGUCCAGAUCUGGAACCACAAAGGGGUGGUAACACCACCAGCUGGAGAGCAGGGCUCACUCACGCUCUGGCUCCUGCCUGCUCCUGUCUGAGGUUGCUGUGAUCUUCUCUGUUUGAAGAAAGCUACUUGGCUCUAAACUAAAAUGAUACAAGAUUAAAAAACAAACACAUGAAAGCAAAAAUAAAACCUCUCCGUACCCCAUCACUCUGAAAUAUC